GACGAACGCUGGCGGCGUGCUUCACACAUGCAAGUCGAACGGGGAUGCAGCAAAAGCUUGCUUUUAUUGCAUCCUAGUGGCAGACGGGUGAGUAACACGUGAGCAACCUGCCCGACAUACUGGGAUAACAGCGGGAAACCGUUGCUAAUACCGGAUACUCCAUUUCUGGCGCAUGUCAGAGAUGGGAAAGGGUUUACCGAUGUCGGAUGGGCUCGCGUCCCAUUAGCUGGUUGGUGAGGUAACGGCUCACCAAAGCUGCGAUGGGUAGCUGGUCUGAGAGCACGAUCAGCCACACUGGAACUGAGACACGGUCCAGACUCCUACGGGAGGCAGCAGUGGGGAAUAUUGCACAAUGGGCGAAAGCCUGAUGCAGCGACGCCGCGUGGAGGAUGAAGGCCUUCGGGUCGUAAACUCCUGUCUGGGGGGAUGAACACUGACAGUACCCCCGGAGGAAGCCCCGGCUAACUACGUGCCAGCAGCCGCGGUAA
rnacentral:rRNA from 1 species